rfam:Oryza sativa Japonica Group DNA, chromosome 3, cultivar: Nipponbare, complete sequence.
AAAAAGAGAAACUCUGGGUUUCCGUGUCCAACUUUAACUGUCCGUCUUAUAUAAAAUUUUUUAUAAUUCGUAUUUUCAUUAUUGUUAGAUGAUAAAACAUGAUUAAUAUUUUAUGCGUGACUUGUCUUUUUAAUUUUUUUUCAUAAUUUUUUCAAAUAAGACGAACGGUCAAAUGUUGGACACAGAAACCAGAGUUUGUCUUUUUU